rnacentral:tRNA from 1 species
UGUUCUGUGGCUUAGUUGGUCAAAGCGCCGAUGUAGUGAAUACGGAGUGGUGGGUACAAAUCCCACCAGAUCGC